rnacentral:rRNA from 1 species
UACGGAGGGUGCGAGCGUUGUCCGGAAUCACUGGGCGGAAAGGGCGCGUAGGCGGCGCGGAUAGUCGGCGGUGAAAGCCCGGAGCUCAACUCCGGGUCGGCCGUCGAUACUUCCGGGCUUGAGCACUGUAGAGGCAGAUGGAAUUCCGGGUGUAGCGGUGGAAUGCGUAGAGAUCCGGAAGAACACCGGUGGCGAAGGCGGUCUGCUGGGCAGUUGCUGACGCUGAUGCGCGACAGCGUGGGGAGCAAACAGG